UACGUAGGUGACAAGCGUUGUCCGGAUUUACUGGGCGUAAAGAGCGCGCAGGCGGUCGUUCAAGUCGAGUGUGAAAGCCCCGGGCUCAACCUGGGAAUGGCAAUGGAUACUGGCAAGCUAGAGUGCGGUAGAGGGUAGUGGAAUUCCCGGUGUAGCGGUGAAAUGCGUAGAGAUCGGGAGGAACACCAGUGGCGAAGGCGGCUACCUGGACCAGCACUGACACUGAGGCACGAAAGCGUGGGGAGCAAACAGG
rnacentral:rRNA from 1 species